UACAGAGGGGGCAAGCGUUAUUCGGAAUUAUUGGGCGUAAAGGGCGCGUAGGUGGCUUGAUAAGUCAAAGGUGAAAUCCCUCGGCUCAACCGAGGAACUGCCUUUGAAACUGUCAGGCUUGAGGCCGGGAGAGGGUAGCGGAAUUCCCAGUGUAGCGGUGAAAUGCGUAGAUAUUGGGAGGAACACCGGUGGCGAAGGCGGCUACCUGGACCGGUUCUGACACUGAGGCGCGAAAGCGUGGGGAUCAAACAGG
rnacentral:rRNA from 1 species